ACUCCUACGGGAGGCAGCAGUGGGGAAUAUUGCACAAUGGGCGCAAGCCUGAUGCAGCCAUGCCGCGUGUGUGAAGAAGGCCUUCGGGUUGUAAAGCACUUUCAGUCGUGAGGAAGGUAGUGUAGUUAAUAGCUGCAUUAUUUGACGUUAGCGACAGAAGAAGCACCGGCUAACUCCGUGCCAGCAGCCGCGGUAAUACGGAGGGUGCGAGCGUUAAUCGGAAUUACUGGGCGUAAAGCGCAUGCAGGUGGUUUGUUAAGUCAGAUGUGAAAGCCCGGGGCUCAACCUCGGAAUAGCAUUUGAAACUGGCAGACUAGAGUACUGUAGAGGGGGUAGAAUUUCAGGUGUAGCGGUGAAAUGCGUAGAGAUCGUGAAGGAUACCGGUGGCGAAAGGCGGCCCCUGGACAGAUACUGACACUCGAGAUGCGAAAGCGUGGGAGCAAACAGGAUUAGAUA
rnacentral:rRNA from 1 species